rnacentral:rRNA from 1 species
AACCUGGUUGAUCCUGCCAGUUGUCAUAUGCUUGUUUCAAGGACUAAGCCAUGCAAGUCUCAGAGUACUUGCGCUUACGCGAGAGGUCUGUGUACGGCUCAUUAAACGGUUUAUUGUCUACCCAACGAAGAGAUGCCUCGUGCAUUUCCGAUGGGAUAACGAUUUCGAAAUGAAUCGCUAAUACCUGUAAGAAGAACCUCGCACUGUUCACACACCGAGUGGGAAACCUCUUGGUGUAGUGCGGGGUGCAAUUCGCCGAAACAAAAAUUAACGCCCGCGAGGGCAGUUGCAAUUGUUGAGGCAGGCAAAUGUUGCGAAAGCGCCAUCUGGCGCGGUGUUGGAUGAAUUUACCACCUAUCAGGUUGAAGGUAGUAUAGUUGACUACCUUGCCUUUGACGGGUAACGGAGAAUUGGGGUUCGAUUCCGGAGAGGGUGCCUGAGAAACGGCAACUAUCACUACGGUGAGCAGCAGGCGCGCAAAUUGCCCAAUGGUCAUUAGACCGAGGCAGCGACGAAAAAUAGUAACUCUGUUGUACUACGUGCAUCAGAGAUUGCAAUGGAUUGUAUCCAAUUCACACUGCUGAGUAACCAUUGGAGGGCAAGUCUGGUGCCAGCAGCCGCGGUAAUUCCAGCUCCAAGAGCGUAUAUAAAUGUUGUUGCGGUUAAAAAGCCCGUAGUUGGAUUUGAGGACGUCGCUUGUGAUCGUACCCCUCGAGACUUCGUUUUCUUGGGAUUCUGCGAACACAUAUAGGCGAUGCUCUGUCGCACGCGGGAUUGGAUGCUGGUUCCUCCUCUUUAUUGAGGUGGAACACCCACGGAGUGAUCUUGCUCCAUAAGGCACGCCCGCCGAUGUCACUGUGAGUAAAACAGAGUGUUCAAGG